GUGCAGCAGUCGCGAAAACUCCGCAAUACGCGAAAGCGUGACGGGGCUACCCCGAGUGUCGUCCGCUGAGGACGACUUUUCCACGCUGUAAGGAGGCGUGGGAAUAAGGAGAGGGCAAGUCUGGUGUCAGCCGCCGCGGUAAUACCAGCUCUCCGAGUGGUAGGGACGAUUAUUGGGCCUAAAGCGUCCGUAGCCGGUUUUGUAAGUUUCUGGGUAAAUCCCACAGCUUAACUGCGGGAAUUCCAGAAAUACUGCAGAGCUAGGGGCCGGGAGACGCAGAAGGUACUCCUGGGGUAGGGGUGAAAUCCUAUAAUCCUAGGGGGACCACCAGUGGCGAAGGCGUUCUGCGAGAACGGGCUCGACGGUGAGGGACGAAAGCCAGGGGCGCAAACGGGAUUAGAUACCCCGUAGUCC
rnacentral:rRNA from 1 species